GUGCUUAAUCGUGAAUUCUUGUAUAUGCAACCAUAAUGACUGAGCUCUCUAUACGUGUUCAUUGCAAGGACUUUAAUUUUCCU
rnacentral:tRNA from 15 species